UACGUAGGUGGCAAGCGUUAUCCGGAUUUAUUGGGCGUAAAGGGAACGCAGGCGGUCUUUUAAGUCUGAUGUGAAAGCCUUCGGCUUAACCGGAGUAGUGCAUUGGAAACUGGGAGACUUGAGUGCAGAAGAGGAGAGUGGAACUCCAUGUGUAGCGGUGAAAUGCGUAGAUAUUAGGAGGAACACCAGUGGCGAAGGCGGUCUGCUGGACAGCAACUGACGCUGAGGCGCGAAAGCGUGGAGAGCAAACAGG
rnacentral:rRNA from 1 species